CCACCACACGGGAGGUGGAAUAUCUCCGUAUGUAUCUCCUGCACACCACCACACGGGAGGUGGAAUAUCUCCGUAUGUAUCUCCUGCACACCACCACACGGGAGGUGGAAUAUCUCCGUAUGUAUCUCCUGCACACCACCACACGGGAGGUGGAAUAUCUCCGUAUGUAUCUCCUGCACACCACCACACGGGAGGUGGAAUAUCUCCGUAUGUAUCUCCUGCACACCACCACACGGGAGGUGGAAUAUCUCCGUAUGUAUCUCCUGCACACCACCACACGGGAGGUGGAAUAUCUCCGUAUGUAUCUCCUGCACACCACCACACGGGAGGUGGAAUAUCUCCGUAUGUAUCUCCUGCACACCACCACACGGGAGGUGGAAUA